rnacentral:rRNA from 1 species
UACGUAGGGAGCAAGCGUUGUUCGGAUUUACUGGGCGUAAAGGGCGCGUAGGCGGCGCGGUAAGUCACUUGUGAAAUCUCUGAGCUUAACUCAGAACGGCCAAGUGAUACUGCAGUGCUUGAGUGUGGAAGGGGCAAUCGGAAUUCUUGGUGUAGCGGUGAAAUGCGUAGAUAUCAAGAGGAACACCAGUGGCGAAGGCGAGUCCCUGGACAACACCUCACACUGAGGCACGAAAGCUAGGGGAGCAAACAGG